rnacentral:rRNA from 1 species
GAUGAACGCUGGCGGCGUGCCUAAUACAUGCCAGUCGAGCGAACGGACGAGAAGCUUGCUUCUCUGAUGUUAGCGGCGGACGGGUGAGUAACACGUGGAUAACCUACCUAUAAGACUGGGAUAACUUCGGGAAACCGGAGCUAAUACCGGAUAAUAUUUUGAACCGCAUGGUUCAAAAGUGAAAGACGGUCUUGCUGUCACUUAUAGAUGGAUCCGCGCUGCAUUAGCUAGUUGGUAAGGUAACGGCUUACCAAGGCAACGAUGCAUAGCCGACCUGAGAGGGUGAUCGGCCACACUGGAACUGAGACACGGGCCAGACUCCUACGGGAGGCAGCAGUAGGGAAUCUUCCGCAAUGGGCGAAAGCCUGACGGAGCAACGCCGCGUGAGUGAUGAAGGUCUUCGGAUCGUAAAACUCUGUUAUUAGGGAAGAACAUAUGUGUAAGUAACUGUGCACAUCUUGACGGUACCUAAUCAGAAAGCCACGGCUAACUACGU